GAUCAUGGCUCAGGAUGAACGCUAGCUACAGGCUUAACACAUGCAAGUCGGAGGGGCAGCAUUUUUAUAGCAAUAUAAAAAGAUGGCGACCGGCGCACGGGUGAGUAACACGUAUCCAACCUGCCGAUAACUCGGGGAUAACCCUUCGAAAGAAGGCCUAAUACCCGAUGGCAUAUCCCUUCCGCCUGGUGGGGGAUAUUAAAAGAACUUCGGUUAUCGAUGGGGAUGCGUUCCAUUAGCUUGUUGGCGGGGUAACGG
rnacentral:rRNA from 1 species